UUUCCGUAGGUGAACCUGCGGAAGGAUCAUUAAUGAAUUAAGAACCAGGGCGCGUAACAGCUGCCCGUAUCACCGGCGUAACAGCAUGGUGAUAGUUCUAUCAUAUCCAUAACACCUGUGCACUGUUGGAUGCUUGCAUCCACUUUUAAACUAAACAUUAUUGUAACAAAUGUAGUCUUAUUAUAACAUAAUAAAACUUUCAACAACGGAUCUCUUGGCUCUC
rnacentral:misc_RNA from 1 species